UUGCAUGAAGACAUCAGAGAAGAACUUUCUGGAAAGAAAGACCAUAGAGCAUGACAGUUGCGUAUUCGAAUGUUGUCGAAGCAUAGUAGUAUCCUGAGUAGCGCGGAGCACGAGGAAUUCUGCGUGAAUCUGCCGGGACCAUCCGGUAAGGCUAAAUACUCCCGAGAGACCGAUAGCGAACCAGUACCGUGAGGGAAAGGUGAAAAGCACUUCGAACAGAAGAGUGAAAUAGUUCCUGAAACCGUGCGCCUACAAGCGGUCGGAGCUCGUUAAUGAGUGACGGCGUGCCUUUUGCAUAAUGAACCUACGAGUUGCCUUUGCCGGCAAGGUUAAGUGUGACGACACACGUAUCCGAAGCGAAAGCGAGUCUGAACAGGGCGUAUAGUCGGCAGUGGCAGACGCGAAACCAAGUGAUCUACCCUUGGCCAGGUUGAAGGCUGGGUAACACCAGCUGGAGGACCGCACCAAUAAGCGUUGAAAAGCUUCUGGAUGAGCUGAGGGUAGGGGUGAAAGGCUAAUCAAACUUGGAGAUAGCUCGUACUCCCCGAAAUGCAUUUAGGUGCAGCCUUGCGGGUUACUGAUGUGAGGUAGAGCGACUGAUAAGAUGCGAGGGCUUCACCGCCUAUCAAGUCUUGACAAACUCCGAAUGCGCAUCAGUUCUACCGCAGGAGUGAGGGCAUGGGUGCUAAGGUCCGUGCCCGAGAGGAGAAGAAUCCGGACCACCUGCUAAGGUCCCGAAAUGACAGCUAAGUUAAACUAACGAAGUCUGACUGCUAAGACAGCUAGGAUGUUGGCUUGGAAGCAGCCAUUCAUUUAAAGAGUGCGUAACAGCUCACUAGUCGAGGAGUCGGGCGUGGAUAAUAAUCGGGUAUUAAGUUGUCUACCGAAGCAGUGGGAUCAUUAAUAUGAUCGGUAGGGGAGCAUUCCAGUCAGCGUCGAAGGCGUACCGUGAGGUAUUCUGGAGCGUCUGGAAAAGCAAAUGUAGGUAUAAGUAACGAUAAAGGGGGCGGGAAACCCCCUCGCCGAAAGACUAAGGUUUCCUGAUCAACGCUAAUCGGAUCAGGGUCAGUCGGGUCCUAAGGCUCAGCCGAACGGCGAUGCCGAUGGCAGAAACGGUUAAUAUUCCGUUACUACCUUCAGGAGUGACGUGGAGACGCAGUAGUGACAGUGCCGCCAUCUGACGGAAUAGAUGGUUGAAGGGUGUAGGAGUCGAUCAUGGCAGGCAAAUCCACCAUGAGAUCCGAACCUGACAGUAUGCCGCGUCCUUCGGGACAAGGCAAUAGUGCGCGUAAGCAUGCUGCCGAGAAAAUCCGCUAAACUUAAUCCUGCAGGUACCCGUACCGCAAACGGACACACGUAGUCGGGAUGAAUAUUCUAAGGCGCUUGAGUGAUUCACGGUUAAGGAACUAGGCAAACUGACCCUGUAACUUCGGGAUAAAGGGUCCCUACCCUUUUAUGGGAGGGCGCAGAGAAUCGGUCCAGGCAACUGUUUAACAAAAACACAGGGCUGUGCCAAAUCGAAAGAUCCAGUAUACAGCCUGACACCUGCCCGGUGCUGGAAGGUUAAGAGGAGAUGUCAUCGAUAAGAGAAGCGUUGAAUUGAAGCCCCAGUAAACGGCGGCCGUAACUAUAACGGUCCUAAGGUAGCGAAAUUCCUUGUCGGGUAAGUUCCGACCUGCACGAAUGGUGUAAUGAUCUGGACGCUGUCUCAACCGUGAGCUCAGUGAAAUUGUAGUAUCGGUGAAGAUGCCGAUUACCCGCGAUGGGACGAAAAGACCCCGUGAACCUUUACUAUAGCUUAUCAUUGAAUCUGGGCACGUGAUGUGUAGGAUAGGUCGGAGGCUUUGAAGCAGGUACGCCAGUAUUUGUGGAGCCGCUGUUGAAAUACGACCCUUUAUUUGUUUGGAUUCUAACCCGUGGAACGGGGACAUUGAUUGGUGGGUAGUUUGACUGGGGUGGUCGCCUCCAAAAGCGUAACGGAGGCUUCUAAAGGUGCCCUCCGGCCGAUUGGUAACCGGCCUUAGAGUGUAAUGGCAUAAGGGCGCUUGACUGGGAGACUGACAAGUCGAUCAGGUAGGAAACUAGAGCAUAGUGAUCCGGUGUUUCCGUAUGGAAGGGACAUCGCUCAAAGGAUAAAAGGUACUCCGGGGAUAACAGGCUGAUCCCUCCCAAGAGCUCAUAUCGACGGAGUGGUUUGGCACCUCGAUGUCGGCUCGUCACAUCCUGGGGCUGGAGAAGGUCCCAAGGGUUGGGCUGUUCGCCCAUUAAAGUGGCACGCGAGCUGGGUUCAGAACGUCGUGAGACAGUUCGGUCUCUAUCUAUCGUGGGCGUAUGAAAUUUGCGUGGCUCUGACACUAGUACGAGAGGACCGUGUUGGACAGACCUCUGGUUUGCCGGUUGUGCCGCCAGGUGCAUUGCCGGGUAUCUAAGUCUGGAUCGGAUAAGUGCUGAAAGCAUCUAAGUACGAAGCCGGCCACAAGAUUAGAUUUCUCAGGGUCGUUGUAGACUACGACGUUGAUAGGAUGCAGGUGUAAAGAUGGAGACAUCAAAGCCGAGCAUUACUAAUUGCCCGUCCACUUUCCUUA
rnacentral:rRNA from 1 species